AAUAAGAUCCAUCGUUCUCUCGCGCGAGAGAUACAACCCGAACCCAGGCGUCCGAAUAGACGCAGCAACGGCAAGGAGAAGACGUUCUCCUCCCAGUCGCGGCGGAGAAGGAUGGACAGGUGGCCUCCCCCUCCGUUGGCUCCAUCGCCAUUCCCUGCGACGAGGACGAUGGGACGGUGAUCUUAAAGGGUAAUGCUCGAACCCGCCAAAGAGAGGAUAGCCGCCGACAGCGCCACCAGCGAGGGGAGCUCAACCAUCGAGCCAGAUUACCUACGAUUUGCUAUAUUAAUAGAGACUGGCCAUGUUAUUUGAUAUCUUAAUGUGUGACAGAACUUGAAGGCGGUGGAUGUUUUAUUCAGUGGAAACUAACCUGAGGUAUCUCGUGAGUUAUUUACACAUCUUGGCGUGUGUCUAGGAUCCACAAGUCACUCUUUCUUUUUUAAGUCGUCAGCAGAGUUGGUUUUGUUAGGAAACUUGGGUGAAAUUUUAAGUGUUGGUAGUCUAGAAUAGAUGAUUCAAUCAUUACUUUAACAAGCACGAAAAUGAUGUGUUGGCAUGGAUAUUCCUCUGUAAACGCUGAUGGUUCUAUUAUUGUUUUGUGGUAUCAAACUUUGAAAUAAGAUCAUGUCUCAACUGGGUU